rnacentral:rRNA from 1 species
AUUGAACGCUGGCGGCAUGCUUUACACAUGCAAGUCGAACGGUAACAGGCCUUCGGGUGCUGACGAGUGGCGAACGGGUGAGUAAUGCAUCGGAACGUGCCCAAUCGUGGGGGAUAACGUAGCGAAAGUUACGCUAAUACCGCAUAAGCCCUGAGGGGGAAAGCAGGGGAUCGCAAGACCUUGCGCGAAUGGAGCGGCCGAUGUCAGAUUAGCUAGUUGGUGGGGUAAAGGCCUACCAAGGCGACGAUCUGUAGCGGGUCUGAGAGGAUGAUCCGCCACACUGGGACUGAGACACGGCCCAGACUCCUACGGGAGGCAGCAGUGGGGAAUUUUGGACAAUGGGCGCAAGCCUGAUCCAGCCAUGCCGCGUGCGGGACG